rnacentral:sRNA from 1 species
UACUUGGCCAAGAUAUUUGGUUAAAAAAACAGGGUUAUUUGACAGUUCUAUAAAGGAAAUCUGUCAAAUAAACCUAUUGCAAAUCUACAAUAAGUUUUUUGAUUACCGGUUCUAUUAUUUGCCUCUUGAAACGACACAAGGAACUUUUAUAACAUAUAAGAACAACUUAGCACACAAAUGACAAGAAAUUAAAAAUGUGAUAAAUUCAGAAGAAUACAAUGUACCAGAGGUCUCCGAGUGAAGUGAAUGGGAACUGUGGUUGCCAUACGGGUGUCCUUUAACCUAAACAAUCACCUCCUAAUCCUGGCGUCAUUUGUGAGCUACCAUGCCAUGUUAAAACUUCUACCCAUAGAGGUGCGAGCUCUCAUCGCUGAGCCUAAGCUUGAAUCGGACAGCACUCAGUAUGCCCCUGUAUCUUAAAGGAAUGUUCAUGAGGAAAUUUGGUAACAGCAAACUCGUCAUAUGAAUGUCGAUGUCAUAAAAUCUUGUGUUGAAUCUUUUAGUUACAUUCCGUUAUGGGAUACCUGAUAGUAGAUCCUAAAUUUUUAAAUCGUUUUUAAAUUUUUUGUGCAGAAAUUUGUUAAAAAAAUCAAGUUGCUUUUUAAA